UAAAAGCAAGGUGAUACCGGAUGCCAUCAAUGGACUUAUACCAAUCUCACAAACAAAGGCGGAUACCGGAUACCAAUAAAUGGAAUUACACCAAUCUCCUAAAACACAAACAAUGAUACCGGAUGCCAAUAAAUGGACUUAUUCCAAUCUCACAAAGUAAGACAAAACCUGGAUAUCAGAUGCCAAUUUGUAUGGACUUAUUCUAACCUCCAAAUGAUGAUCAUAGGAA
rnacentral:lncRNA from 1 species